rnacentral:siRNA from 1 species
CAGCGUGCUCCGGGCGUCGGCCU